rnacentral:rRNA from 1 species
CCUUACGGCCAUACCACCCUGAAUGCGCCCGAUCUUGUCUGAUCUCGGAAGCUAAGCAGGGUCAGGUCUGGUUAAUACUUGGGUGGGAGACCGCCUGGGAAUACCAGGUGCUGUAAGCU